CGGCGUGCCUAAUACAUGCAAGUUGUGCGGUAACAGAGAGAGCUUGCUCUCUGCUGACGAGCGGCGGACGGCAGAGUAACGCGUAGGAACAUACCCCAAACUGAGGGAUAACUGCUCGAAAGAGUAGCUAAUACCGCAUGUGGUCUUCGGAUUAAAGCUUCGGCGGUUUGGGAGUGGCCUGCGUCCGAUUAGCUAGUUGGUGAGGUAAUUGCUCACCAAGGCGACGAUCGGUAGCUGGUCUGAGAGGAUGAUCAGCCUGACUGGAACUGAGAACGGUCCAGACUCCUACGGGAGGCAGCAGUAGGGAAUUUUCCACAAUGGGCGAAAGCCUGAUGGAGCAACGCCGCGUGCAGGAUGAAUGCCUUCGGGUUGUAAACUGCUUUUCUGUGUGAAGAAUAUGACGGUAACACAGGAAUAAGGGUCGGCUAACCACGUG
rnacentral:rRNA from 1 species